rnacentral:misc_RNA from 1 species
GUGUAAUAAUGCUUCAUUUUAUUUCAAUAUACAUGGGAUAGUGUAAUCAUGCUUCAUUUUAGGUCAGUGUACAUGAGAUAGGGUGACAGAGUGAGAUAGAAUAUCCUUUCACAUUCUAUCUCAAUGCGAACAAAUUACUUGUCAUUUCUAGGAAGAGAACUACCAGAAAACAUCAAAUGAUUUUUGAUGUCUGGAUUGUGCUAUUUGAUAAGUUCCUCACCUGCUCGCUGCCACAUUGGUGUUCUUCUCCAAUCUAUAAGAAACUCUGGAUUGUGCUAUUUGAUAACCAUGCCCCCCGUUGGCGUGAUUGGUGGCAGUAUGGGUUUUCUCUAAAUUAUGCUUAGUGGUCAUUAUUUGAUAAAGGUUGAAACUUCCAUUAUUUGUUUGGGGCAAAUCUGGUUGGAUUCUAUAUAGUUGAGUCUUCAACAUUUCAAAUGAAAAUUCACAAGGUCACAGAUUUUUCUUGUUAUCUUUUUCCUUCAAAGAUAUUGCCAUGGUAUAAAGA